GUGCCAGCAGCCGCGGUAAUACGGAGGGUGCAAGCGUUAUCCGGAUUCACUGGGUUUAAAGGGUGCGUAGGAGGGCAGGUAAGUCAGUGGUGAAAUCCCCGAGCUUAACUUGGGAACUGCCGUUGAUACUAUCUGUCUUGAAUAUUGUGGAGGUGAGCGGAAUAUGUCAUGUAGCGGUGAAAUGCUUAGAUAUGACAUAGAACACCAAUUGCGAAGGCAGCUCGCUACACAUAUAUUGACUCUGAGGCACGAAAGCGUGGGGAUCAAACAGGAUUAGAUACCCCUGUAGUCC
rnacentral:rRNA from 1 species